rnacentral:lncRNA from 1 species
GUCUUAUGCUCACGUUAUUGGCAGGCUGCAGCUCACCUCAGGGCACUGCGGGUGCCUCACAGGGACACUGUGCCCAAACGUGAUGUAAAAAGCCAACAGAAACAGCCCCACAGGUGCCAAGCUCAGAGGAGAGGGAGUGCUGUGGGUGCUGCAGCUGGUAUUGAUUGCCCUGCGGGCACCGUGCCAGAGUGUGUGGGCAUGAGAGGAGGUCCUGCCCUCCUGUGCCCCUUGGGUGGUGGUUGGAGGUCGAGUUGUUGAGGGUGAAGCAGCGGAGUCCAGCCUGGCAAGCAGGUAGGAGUGAGAUGAGCGUUGGUUUGGUGUUUUUUGCCUUGCUUUUUCACCAUCUGAAUCUGUUUUAAUUGAUUUAGGGAAAAGUAAUACCUUGCCGAGUCCAUUUGGCCUGUGGUGGUAACUGAUGGGGAAUCUCCCUGUCCUUAUCCUGACCCCUGAGCUGUUCGGGACUGUAGAAGGGAGGUCUGAGCGUGGCUGUGGGGCUGCAGCCUGCGUCAGCCUGCGCACCUCUCCUGGUGCUGCUCUCACCCAUCCCUCACACCAUGUCCCUGGUUCUUUUCAUCACAAUCUGUUGUUCCGUCACAAACGUGGUCUGCUCAGACCUCAGGUUCAGCAGGACCUCACCAGUUCCAUUCCUGUCAGUCAGCUAUGAGUGGCAGCUCUUACUGCCUGGGAACAAACUCAUGUGGUCCAGUCAGGAGGAUGACAGCUCUGCACCACCGCAGGGAGUUCCUCUGGGGCCCAGUCCGAAGCACCGGUCUGGCAGCUACGACGUACCAAUGCUUCCUGCUCCCUGCUGUAUUUCUUGGCUGAGAGGAGUACUGCUGUGUGCCU